rnacentral:rRNA from 1 species
ACUGGUACUGAGACACGGACCAGACUCCUACGGGAGGCAGCAGUAAGGAAUAUUGGUCAAUGGGGGAACCCUGAACCAGCCAUGCCGCGUGCAGGAAGACUGCCCUACGGGUUGUAAACUGCUUUUAUCUAGGAAUAACCCUUGGUAUGUAUACCAAGCUGAAUGUACUAGAAGAAUAAGGAUCGGCUAACUCCGUGCCAGCAGCCGCGGUAAUACGGAGGAUCCAAGCGUUAUCCGGAUUUAUUGGGUUUAAAGGGUGCGUAGGCGGCACUUUAAGUCAGGGGUGAAAUACGGCAGCUUAACUGUCGCAGUGCCUUUGAUACUGAAGUGCUUGAAUGCGGUUGAAGACGGCGGAAUGAGACAAGUAGCGGUGAAAUGCAUAGAUAUGUCUCAGAACACCAAUUGCGAAGGCAGCUGUCUAAACCGUUAUUGACGCUGAUGCACGAAAGCGUGGGGAUCGAACAGGAUUAGAUACCCUGGUAGUCCACGCCCUAAACGAUGAUAACUCGAUGUUUGCGAUAUACAGUAAGCGUCCAAGCGAAAGCGUUAAGUUAUCCACCUGGGGAGUACGCCCGCAAGGGUGAAACUCAAAGGAAUUGACGGGGGCCCGCACAAGCGGAGGAGCAUGUGGUUUAAUUCGAUGAUACGCGAGGAACCUUACCCGGGCUUGAAAGUUAGUGAAGAGAGCAGAGACGCUUUCGUCCUUCGGGACACGAAACUAGGUGCUGCAUGGCUGUCGUCAGCUCGUGCCGUGAGGUGUUGGGUUAAGUCCCGCAACGAGCGCAACCCCUAUGUCUAGUUGCCAGCAUUUAAAGAUGGGGACUCUAGACAGACUGCCUGCGUAAGCAGAGAGGAAGGUGGGGACGACGUCAAGUCAUCAUGGCCCUUACGUCCGGGGCUACACACGUGCUACAAUGGAUGGUACAACGGGCAGCUACACAGCAAUGUGAUGCGAAUCUCGAAAAGCCAUUCACAGUUCGGAUCGGGGUCUGCAACUCGACCCCGUGAAGUUGGAUUCGCUAGUAAUCGCGUAUCAGCAAUGACGCGGUGAAUACGUUCCCGGGCCUUGUACACACCGCCCGUCAAGCCAUGAAAGCUGGGGG